rnacentral:rRNA from 1 species
GGGGUUCGGAGGUUCACUCCCAACCCCUG